AUCGAACGCUGGCGGCAGGCCUAACACAUGCAAGUCGAGCGAACCUUUCGGGGUUGGUGGCGGACGGGUGGGUAACCCGUUGGAACGUGCCUUUAGGUUCGGAAUAACUCAGGGAAACUUGUGCUAAUACCGAAGGUGCCCUUCGGGGGAAAGAUCUGGCGCCUUUAGAGGGGCCCGCGUCGGAUUAGCUAGUUGUUUGAGGUAAUGGCUCACCAAGGCGACGGUAAGUAGCUGGUAUGAGAGGAUGAUCCGCCACAUUGGCAGUGAGACGCGGCCCAAAAUACUACGGGAGGCAGCAGUGGGGAAUCUAGCGAAAUGGGGGAAAGCAUGACGCAGCCAUGACGCGUGAAUGAUGAAGGUUGUAGGAUUGUAAAAUUAUUUCACCGGGGACGAUAAUGACGGUACCAGGAGAAGAAGCCCCGGCUAACUUCGUG
rnacentral:rRNA from 1 species